rnacentral:misc_RNA from 1 species
AUGCCUGUUUGAGUGUCAUGAAUAAUCAUCCAUCCGGGUUUCCGGUUGAGAUGGAUCUGGGUGUUGCCGUCCGGCUCGCCUCAAAUGCAUUAACAGUGGAGACGUGAUACGUUUCGUCAGCCGCUGUUCCUCCCGCAAGGAUACAUCACUGUACUCAUGUCAACGACCUCAAAUCAGGUAGGGCUACCCGCUGAACUUAA